GACUACACUUUUGAACAAUUGAACAUAAUGGGUAUGCAAAACAGAAUCAAAUUAAUUACAAAGAAUGCAACAAUGGAAGAAGAAAGUAGAGACCUGAAGAAGUGGAAACAGAGAGAAGAUGAGAGGUAAGGGUUCUUUGAAAAGAGAGAUUGGCAUUGGUGCGAAGAUUAUGAGAAUGAGAAAGUGCAAAAGCAUGAGUUACUACUCUUCUUAGACAACACGCAGUUCCAAAGCUAGUGGUAGCAGUAGCCAUGGCCAAGAGGUGAUUCAUUCCAUGUGGGCUUUGUUGAUAAUUGAAUUUUGAUUUAAAUAUCUG
rnacentral:lncRNA from 1 species